UACGUAGGGGGCAAGCGUUGUCCGGAAUCAUUGGGCGUAAAGAGCGCGUAGGCGGCCCUGUAAGUCCGCUGUGAAAGUCAAGGGCUCAACCCUUGCAUGCCGGUGGAUACUGCAGGGCUAGAGUCCGGAAGAGGCGAGUGGAAUUCCUGGUGUAGCGGUGAAAUGCGCAGAUAUCAGGAGGAACACCGAUGGCGAAGGCAGCUCGCUGGGACGGUACUGACGCUGAGGCGCGAAAGCGUGGGGAGCGAACAGG
rnacentral:rRNA from 1 species